GACACCUGUCCAAAGUGUCAUGCGGUGGGACUGAACCCGAAACCACAUAGCUAGGAAGCAAGCUCCCUAACUACACGGCCAUAUAUAUAUAUAUACACACACACACACACACAUACACACAAGGGGGCUCCUGAACAGUUCCUGACUUUUAGAUUAAAAAAUAUAUGUGAGGAUUUUUUGCAACAUAUUCCCAUCUCAGAUUUACAGUGCAGUGGUCCUUCAGUUUUUCUAAUCCCUGUAAAAGAACUCAAAAUGUUGGGUCCCCAACAUCUGUAACAGUGACCACUUCUGAGUUGGAGUGAAAUUUCAUUCCCUUCAGAGGUAAUAGUUGAAGAGGGCCAAAUCAGGAGAAUAAGAUGGGUGAUCUACCAAUUCAAAGCCAAAAUUAGUAUUUUCCAUAGUCUCAUAUGCUGUGUAUGCUGCUGCAUUGUCCGGCAAAAACAGGAUGCCACAGCUCAGCUUCCCACAUUUCUGCUUCACAGUUUGUGCAACAGAGACUUGUAGUAUUCAGUGUUGAUUGAGCAACUCAUUAGCAGGUAUUUUAUGAGGUGUACUCCUUCUUUGUCCCAGAACGCUGAAGCCAGAAUCUUUCCAGCUGACUUCUGAAUCUGAAACGUCUUGGGACACAGUGAACCUCUGUGGCACUACUCCAUUGAAUGCUGCUUGGUCUGGGGUUUGGUUGACCGGAUGUUAAACGAUGAUGAAGUUAAGUUUCAUUUAUGGUCACUAAACAAGCCAUAGAAUCAGCCCCUCUUGCUGCAAACUGGUCCAAAAUCACCUUUAGUGUCAUCACUCUGAUGCACUUCCGACCUGUGUUCAGGCAUUUCAGCACCUAUUUUGCAGAAAGCUUUGUGUCCAGGAUGCUGUGGAUGACGUGGCCAAAAUUUUUGUGGGAAAUCCUGGUUCAGCUAUGACCUUGGCUGAAAUCCAGCAGUCGUCAAGAAUCAUGAUGUGCACAGUGUUGACUUUGUCCUCUGUAAUAUAGAAGUUGGCCAUCUUGACCAGGGAUCAUCUAUGACCUCAAAAUGACCAGUCCAAAACCUUGACAUCCAUAUUUUCACUGUGAAGGGAGGUGGGUAGCCAUCCUUCAAGAUUUCCUUCCUCCCAUCAUGGAUUUUCGCAGCUCCCGUUUGCCUUGCAAAAGCGGAACUUCAUAUGUUUCAAUUUUACCAAAAUCCACUUUAGGGGCUGCCAUCAUGCAUUAAAUCUGCAAGAAAAGAGAAAGAUGGCACAAAUAGGAAAAUAGAACUCAAAACAUGAGUGUUUAUAUGCAUUUUGUAACUGUUGUUGAUUGAAUAAUAAAUAUAUAUAUAUAUA